rfam:Oryza glumipatula chromosome 7, whole genome shotgun sequence.
AAAAAGGCAAACCCUGGAUUUCCGUACCAACGUUUGACUGUCCGUCUUAUAUGAAAUUUUUUUAUAAUUAGUAUUUUCAUUGUUGUUAGAUAAUAAAACAUGAUUAAUACUUUAUGCAUGACUUAUCUUUUUAAUUUUUUUCAUAAUUUUUUUAAAUAAGACGAACGGUCAAACGUUGGACACGGAAACCAGUGUUUGUCUUUUUU